rnacentral:rRNA from 1 species
GACGAACGCUGGCGGUGUGCUUAACACAUGCAAGUCGAACGGAAAGGCCCUGCUGUUGUGGGGUGCUCGAGUGGCGAACGGGUGAGUAACACGUGAGUAACCUGCCCUUGACUUUGGGAUAACUUCAGGAAACUGGGGCUAAUACCGGAUAGGAGCUCCUGCUGCAUGGUGGGGGUUGGAAAGUUUCGGCGGUUGGGGAUGGACUCGCGGCUUAUCAGCUUGUUGGUGGGGUAGUGGCUUACCAAGGCUUUGACGGGUAGCCGGCCUGAGAGGGUGACCGGCCACAUUGGGACUGAGAUACGGCCCGGACUCCUACGGGAGGCAGCAGUGGGGAAUAUUGCACAAUGGGCGGAAGCCUGAUGCAGCAACGCCGCGUGCGGGAUGACGGCCUUCGGGUUGUAAACCGCUUUCGCCUGUGACGAAGCGUGAGUGACGGUAAUGGGUAAAGAAGCACCGGCUAACUACGUG